rnacentral:tRNA from 1 species
UCCCUGGUGGCUCAGAAGGUAAAGCAUCUGCCUACAAUGCAGGAGACCUGGGUUUGAUCCCUGGGUUAGGAA